UUUGGCCUCCAAUCAAGCAAGGCUACCCGCUGAACUUAAGCAUAUCAAUAAGCGGAGGAAAAGAAACCAACA
rnacentral:rRNA from 1 species